GCUUAAUCUCAAUUUUUCAGCUGUCAAGUAUUUGUGGUUACAAAUGUGGUAAAGUUUAGAGAGCUGUCACGGCAAUUAGCGGACGGACUCUAGAAGCGGCGACCACGUAAGCGGCGCACUCUGGACCACAGAUCCCGAUCAUGAUGGGGACAACCUACUUCGAAUAUCCUUCUAUGCCCCGUUGUCAGCGGUGACAGGCUAUCGCCGUUCAGAAGUCCACUGGUGGUGGACUUACCACACCACCACCACCACCGGGCACCGACACCUUUGAGACGCCAGGACUCCGACUAGAGGAAGACGACGGUCCGAUUUGGAGUCACCGUCUGGGAACAGUGUAAACC
rnacentral:sRNA from 1 species